GCACCCAAUGCAAGUCGACGGUGAAGCCAAGCUUGCUUGGUGGAUCAGUGGCGAACGGGUGAGUAACACGUGAGCAACCUGCCCUGGACUCUGGGAUAAGCGCUGGAAACGGCGUCUAAUACUGGAUAUGAGCUCUCAUCGCAUGGUGGGGGUUGGAAAGAUUUUUCGGUCUGGGAUGGGCUCGCGGCCUAUCAGCUUGUUGGUGAGGUAAUGGCUCACCAAGGCGUCGACGGGUAGCCGGCCUGAGAGGGUGACCGGCCACACUGGGACUGAGACACGGCCCAGACUCCUACGGGAGGCAGCAGUGGGGAAUAUUGCACAAUGGGCGGAAGCCUGAUGCAGCAACGCCGCGUGAGGGAUGACGGCCUUCGGGUUGUAAACCUCUUUUAGCAGGGAAGAAGCGAGAGUGACGGUACCUGCAGAAAAAGCGCCGGCUAACUACGUGCCAGCAGCCGCGGUAAUACGUAGAGCGCAAGCGUUAUCCGGAAUUAUUGGGCGUAAAGAGCUCGUAGGCGGUUUGUCGCGUCUGCUGUGAAAUCCCGAGGCUCAACCUCGGGCCUGCAGUGGGUACGGGCAGACUAGAGUGCGGUAGGGGAGAUUGGAAUUCCUGGUGUAGCGGUGGAAUGCGCAGAUAUCAGGAGGAACACCGAUGGCGAAGGCAGAUCUCUGGGCCGUAACUGACGCUGAGGAGCGAAAGGGUGGGGAGCAAACAGGCUUAGAUACCCUGGUAGUCCACCCCGUAAACGUUGGGAACUAGUUGUGGGGACCAUUCCACGGUUUCCGUGACGCAGCUAACGCAUUAAGUUCCCCGCCUGGGGAGUACGGCCGCAAGGCUAAAACUCAAAGGAAUUGACGGGGACCCGCACAAGCGGCGGAGCAUGCGGAUUAAUUCGAUGCAACGCGAAGAACCUUACCAAGGCUUGACAUAUACGAGAACGGGCCAGAAAUGGUCAACUCUUUGGACACUCGUAAACAGGUGGUGCAUGGUUGUCGUCAGCUCGUGUCGUGAGAUGUUGGGUUAAGUCCCGCAACGAGCGCAACCCUCGUUCUAUGUUGCCAGCACGUAAUGGUGGGAACUCAUGGGAUACUGCCGGGGUCAACUCGGAGGAAGGUGGGGAUGACGUCAAAUCAUCAUGCCCCUUAUGUCUUGGGCUUCACGCAUGCUACAAUGGCCGGUACAAAGGGCUGCAAUACCGUGAGGUGGAGCGAAUCCCAAAAAGCCGGUCCCAGUUCGGAUUGAGGUCUGCAACUCGACCUCAUGAAGUCGGAGUCGCUAGUAAUCGCAGAUCAGCAACGCUGCGGUGAAUACGUUCCCGGGUCUUGUACACACCGCCCGUCAAGUCAUGAAAGUCGGUAACACCUGAAGCCGGUGGCC
rnacentral:rRNA from 1 species